UCACUCCAAUUUGGAAAAAUAUUGGAGUGACGUUUGAAUAAUCUGAAAUUUUUAGAUUUCUUUUCUCACUUUUUUGGGAGGUUUUGCUUCUCUUGCACAGAUGUCGCUUGCACUUCAGUUGCGUGGUUGCCAAACGUUAUAUCGAAAUAUAUUUCAUUUCAUUAUGAAUAUAUAAAAUUAAAGGUAUACCAAAUUAAAAAUUAUGUAAUUUAUAAACAUGAAAUAGAUAUGUUAAAUUAAUAUAUAAAUAUUUAACUUAAUACGUUCAUUAUUAUUUUAUUAAUUUAUCGUCACACGUCAUUUACCAGUUGCCUAAUUACGAAAAGUUUUAUAUGACAUUAACCUCAAAAAUGAUCUUUGAAAAUUGUUGAAAACAAACAACAACAAACAGAGCAACAAAUGAACAAAUAACUACAUAAUGACUGAGAAUGAUAAGUGAUAAUAAUAACUUUAAUGAUAUGAAGGCUGAUGAAGGUAAUUAUAAACAUUAUUUUGAGUUUGUUUAAUAAAAUAUAGGAUACAAUAUAACUAAGCAAAAUCAAACAGUUUUAGACAACCAAUACAAGAUUUAGAACUUGACAUCGUGAUAAACAAAUUGUACAUUCAGGAACUCGUUUAAAUAUUAUAGGUUGAUUGACGAAUACUCUACAGUUGAUUAGAGCCCAUGAUGAU